GUAAUGCAGCGCUGAAGUGAUAAAACGGCAAACUAUAAAAGGCAGAGAAACAGGCGCCAAUCGGCAUUCAAUAUUUUAAUAUUCACUCGACUACCUGAACGCAUAAGUUCGUGCUGAGAAAUCAAAAUGCAAUCGAUAUUCCACUUUGUAAUGCUUUUAUUGGCAGCAAUGGCUUUGUUAAGUGGCGUUGCGUUGGCUCAACAACAGGGUGGCGGCAAUCCAGGUGCCCCUGGUGCUCCGCCAGGCGCUCCCGGCAAUCCAGGCAAUCCCGGAAGUCGAAGAUCUUAAAUAUAGAGGCUUAUAUUUUAAAUUAAAAAGCAAACACACGUAUAUAAGUUAAGAGGAAUCUGUUAUGAAAAUGGUACCUUAAUAAAUUUAGUACAAGAAAUAAACUUGUGCCUUACUGGAUGCCGGGUUACUCGGGAAUAAAAUCUAUAA